AGUGGCGAACGGGUGAGUAAAGUAUCGGAACGUGCCCAGUCGUGGGGGAUAACGUAGCGAAAGUUACGCUAAUACCGCAUACGAUCUAUGGAUGAAAGCGGGGGAUCGCAAGACCUCGCGCGAUUGGAGCGGCCGAUAUCAGAUUAGGUAGUUGGUGGGGUAAAGGCUCACCAAGCCGACGAUCUGUAGCUGGUCUGAGAGGACGACCAGCCACACUGGGACUGAGACACGGCCCAGACUCCUACGGGAGGCAGCAGUGGGGAAUUUUGGACAAUGGGCGCAAGCCUGAUCCAGCCAUGCCGCGUGCAGGAUGAAGGUCUUCGGGUUGUAAACUGCUUUUGUACGGAACGAAAAGGUUUGGCCUAAUAAGCUGAGCUCAUGACGGUACCGUAAGAAUAAGCACCGGCUAACUACGUGCCAGCAGCCGCGGUAAUACGUAGGGUGCGAGCGUUAAUCGGAAUUACUGGGCGUAAAGCGUGCGCAGGCGGUUAUGUAAGACAGAUGUGAAAUCCCCGGGCUCAACCUGGGAACUGCAUUAGUGACUGCAUAGCUGGAGUACGGCAGAGGGGGAUGGAAUUCCGCGUGUAGCAGUGAAAUGCGUAGAUAUGCGGAGGAACACCGAUGGCGAACGCCAUUCUCUGGGUCUGUACUGACGCUCAUGCACGAAAGCGUGG
rnacentral:rRNA from 1 species